rnacentral:rRNA from 1 species
UUCAAUACCGUUUGUUCGCAAACGGUGUGCACUUUUCUCUUAGUAAGACGUUGUGAUCCAUUAGGAAUCGAUAAUGCUUGACGUUAUCAAUUGGCUACCAAUAGGCCAGUGUGAAGUUCAUGAUGGCAAAUAAUGCGAUUGUAAUGGUUGUAUAUAUUGCCUUGUGAGCACGCUGUGUUCUGAAGUAGCUGCCUGAUGGAUUUUAAAGGCCAUAUCGUGAUGUUUCGGCAUCACCUGCCUCGGUAGGAUUUGAUAUGUGCUCGAUCAACAACGGUUAAAUUUGGGAUACCUUUGGGACCCGUCUUGAAACACGGACCAAGGAGUCUAUCUAGUAUGCAAGUAAAUGGGCAUAUGAAACCUAUUUGCGUAAAAAACUUAACUGUUUUAUGGGAUUACGAAACGUGUCUGUAUGGAUGCCUUCCUCCAUCCCGGGGUAUUUUCAUAAAGUGUCGGUGCUCUCGGGUGCCGAUAUAGAAAGUAUACCAUGAGCAUACUGGAUAUGACCCGAAAGAUGGUGAACUAUGCCUGAUCAGGUUGAAGUCAGGGGAAACCCUGAUGGAGGACCGAAGCAAUUCUGACGUGCAAAUCG